GAUUGUAUUUAUGUGCUACGUUGGUGGUGGGUUUAUAUUUAUGUGCUACGUUGGUGGUGGGUUUAUCAAAGGCAACAUCACUCCACUUAUUCAUCGGUUACUCUCAUUUUCAAUUAGUAAUCGAAUGAAGGAUUCAGCUGUUGAGAUCCAAAAGAAUCUGAGAGGAUUUUAAUUUACGCCAGCGACAAAUUCAGAGACGGAGGAUUUGCUGGGAUGUAAAGAAGGUGAGGUAGAGGAGAAGAGAGAACUCCGGAGGGAGUGAUAUUGGUUGUGAAUCUAUCUGGCAGCGAUGAAGUAGGGGACAGAGAUGAUUGCGAUCGUGGCAGUAAAUUGUCAAGAGUAAUACUGAACAGAUUUUGCCAUGUCUGCACCUGCUAAGAAAAAGUUACACAGAAGCUAAGGAGAAAGAUCUAAUGCUUGGGAUAUGGGUUUCGACUUGGGUGGAGUUUUUGGCAAAUUAUCAUCAUUUAAAAUGGACAUAUCGGACUUUGAUUUCUCAAGCCCAGUCAAGAAAACCACAAAGACGAAAGAAAGGUUAGGCGACUUUGAACUUCAUUCAAGCCCACGGAAGAAGGCAAACGAGAGUACGACGACCAAGUCCACAGAUUUCAAACUCCAAAGAGUUCACUGCUACAAGAAGAAUUAAUAAGUUUGACUCUUUGGACUUUGGUCCAGACUUACCAACAACUAGACAAGCGGCCUCCAGGAGUCCAGAGACAUAUACCUAUGUCAAGGAAAAUAAUUCAGCUUUAAACGUCUACAGAGAGUAUGAGCAGCACACACUGGAAACAAGCUCAUAGUAUUUGCAUUGCAUCACUCGAAUCAAGCUCCAAUAGAGCAUGAAAAUUUCUGAGGAGGUGGAAUCACCUCAACAUCUAACGAUGAGAGCCUCACGAGUUCAUACAAUGCGUGGACAACUUUAGUACACCAACAUUUCACCAUUGAUUAUACCGUAUCCAAAGGUUGAAGAAAAUAGCCAGCAUCACCUCGCCAUUACAUUCUUCUGAGACUGUACAUACUGCGGGAAGAAGAGAAACCAUUCUAUGAAAUAUGUAGUUCUGCUGCGAAAGAAGAUUCUCCUAGGGAUCCAACACAGAUUACCAACAAUAAAAAGAUUUCCACCACGAGAUCAGGUUAUGAAGCAACGAGUACAAAUACACCAUCUUCCAGCGAUGAACAGCACAACUCACCGUAACGUCUCCCUUCUCCUCCACAGCACAACUCACUGUAACGUCUCCCUUCUCCUCUGUUUCUGGGAAGUUAGGAAUUCCAAGAAAGGUGGAAAUUUUAUGGGGAUCGAUAUAGUUCUGGCAGAUGAGAAGGAUGCGGUCUACGAUGAUCCAGUGAUCGAUUAGCGUCCACCGCGUUGAACACGUUCCAACGCGAGAGGGAGGUAGUGAUGAGCUGAGUUCAUUUGAUGUGACAGAGAGCAAUCAGUACUCUCAGAGAGCCAGAAAAUCAUGGCAAGCUCAAGCUCGGCUCUUAUGAGGGUACUAUGUUUCUUGAUUAGUUAGACGGACUUAGCUGAAGCUAUAGGUGCUUCCCUCCUUCAGUCAAUAAGUGAUUACAUAUCUGACUUUGAUAUCGUUAUGAUCGCUUAUAACCGAGAGACUAAAGCCGGUGCAUGUCGAAGGAUUACCAAGCACAGUGAUUUCGAGUAUUGCCCAACUCCAAUGGAACAUGGUAGUUUCACCUUGAAGUAUUUGCUCUUAUCUCUCAGUUUCUUU